CUCGUCAACAUUUCUCGAAUGGGACCCUAAAUCAUAGAAUCACCCAGAAUAAAAGGGUGAGGGAGAAAAACGGAGAAAACUUUUGCGAUCGUCGGAGGAGCAGGAGAAGAAUGCGAUGAAGAUGGAUAUGGAGGAGGAGAAAGCGAUGACCAGAGAAGAAGCUGCUUCCUCCAGAAGAACACGAAGCCCUAAUGGGAGUAGCAACGGUGAAAAUGAAGGAAGAGAGAUCAACAUCCGAUCCUUCUCCUCCGUUCCUUCCUCUCCUCGCAACGCUUCUUCUAAGUACGAUUUCGUCAAGGUGAAAGUGUGGCUCGGAGACAACGCCGAUCACUACUAUGUUCUGUCCCGGUUCUUGAUGAGCAGGAUGCUAACAGUAACUAAGAUCCCAAAUCAUGUAGCCAUAAAGAUCGCUCUUGAACUCAAGAAGCUGCUGAUUGACAACAGCCUUCUGGAUGUCUCUCAAUCCGACUUGGAAGCCAAUUUGUUUAAGCUUAUGGAGCGGCGUGGGUAUGGAGAGGAAUAUAUCAAUCGUUACAAGAUGAUGACGAGAUUUCAUCAUCAGAGGGUACCUCUGGUUAUACUUGUUUGUGGGACCGCCUGUGUUGGGAAAUCCACCAUAGCCACCCAACUUGCUCAGAGGCUUAAUUUACCGAAUGUCUUGCAGACAGACAUGGUAUAUGAGUUGCUUCGCACGGCAACAGAUGCCCCGUUAACAUCUACCCCUGUAUGGACACGAGAAUUCAGCUCACCAGAGGAAUUGAUCACUGAAUUCUGUAGAGAAUGCAGGAUAGUUCGAAAAGGUCUUGCGGGUGAUUUGAAGAAAGCAAUGAAAGAUGGAAAACCGAUUAUAAUCGAGGGAAUACAUUUGGAUCCAAGCAUUUAUCUAAUGGACGACGAGAGUAAAACUCCAGCCAACAUCCCCGAGAAGGGCAAAGAGGCAAACACUACUGAAGAUCCUAAAGUGAACAAAAAUCCUGGACUGGGCACUUUAGGAAAUGGUGAAGAAACCCGCCACAUUCCUAGAGACCCCAACCUGCAGGGCACUUCUUCAAACCCGCUCACUGAAGUGGCAGCUUCUGUGAAUGCUAUCGACCUGUCAAGAAACGCUUCUCGAUGUGAAGUCGUAAAAGAUCCGGAAAAGGAAAAGAAAAUACGUGACGGGAAGGCGAAAUCUGUCCCGGACCCAAUUAUUGUCUCUAUUGUUCUGAAGAUGUCUGAAUUUGACCAUAAGGCUUUGCUCGAGGAGUGGAUUACAGCCCGUACCUCCAGUGAUAAAUCUUUGUCCAAGGAGAAAGAUCGGCUAAUAGCUAACCUAAAGACCAUUGAAGACUACCUCUGUUCCUUCAAUUCACAGGGCGUGGCAGUAGUGAACAUAUCGGCCACAACAUUCCCUCAGACCCUGGAUUGGCUGCACAACUAUCUCCUUCAGCGGAUUGAACAAGGCAUUACUUCAGCAUCAUCAUCCGAGAAUGAACAGCAGAAGACCGGUUAGGUCUUUAGACUGUGUCGACAGACACUGGCAAGAAACGAAAAACACUGUCAGUGUCCUUCGCAUUGGACAAAUACUACUGUGUGAUUUGCGUUCGUGAAUCACCGGUUUAGUUUCGGUUAAUGUUGAUGGUUUAUGAGUUAUGUGAUAUGUUAUGUUUUUGUGCAGCAGAAACAUUAAACCGGUACAUCAAAAAAACGAAAAAAAAAAUGCUGAAAUAACUGAUCCUACUUGGUUA